rnacentral:lncRNA from 1 species
UUACUUAAUAUGCUGUAGGACGAGAAAUCAAAUGUGAGAGAAGUGUCUCGAUCAUUCUGAGUGCAGUCUUCGCCCUGAAUCUGUAGAGCAUUUGGCCUGAAGUUGGAAUAGGAAUCCAUAUUCAUCAAAUGGACGUGUCAAAUCAUCGGAUUAUCUAUGAGAAUCACCAAAUACUUUUAACAGGGACUUUCAACUGGAGAAUUGACUCAGAACAGAAGGUUAGGAUGCAAAAUCAUUUUCCUCUCGAUCAUCCAAUGAAGAUGAGACUAUGAACGAACUGAAGAAGGG